rnacentral:rRNA from 1 species
GUCCACGCCGUAAACGAUGGGUACUAGGUGUCUGGGGGAGCGACCCCCUGGGUGCCGGCGCUAACGCAUGAAGUACCCCGCCUGGGGAGUACGGCCGCAAGGCUGAAACUCAAAGGAAUUGACGGGGGCCCGCACAAGCGGUGGAGCAUGUGGUUUAAUUCGACGCAACGCGAAGAACCUUACCUGGGCUUGACAUGCUGGAGAAAGCUCGCAGAAACGUGAGCCCCUCUUCGGAGUUCCAGCACAGAUGCUGCAUGGCUGUCGU